UAGGGAAUCUUCCACAAUGGACGCAAGUCUGAUGGAGCAACGCCGCGUGAGUGAAGAAGGUUUUCGGACCGUAAAGCUCUGUUGUUGGUGAAGAAGGAUAGAGGUAGUAACUGGCCUUUAUUUGACGGUAAUCAACCAGAAAGUCACGGCUAACUACGUGCCAGCAGCCGCGGUAAUACGUAGGUGGCAAGCGUUGUCCGGAUUUAUUGGGCGUAAAGCGAGCGCAGGCGGAAGAAUAAGUCUGAUGUGAAAGCCCUCGGCUUAACCGAGGAAUUGCAUCGGAAACUGUUUUCUUGAGUGCAGAAGAGGAGAGUAGAACUCCAUGUGUAGCGGUGGAAUGCGUAGAUAUAUGGAAGAAUACCAGUGGCGAAGGCGGCUCUCUGGUCUGCAACUGACGCCGAGGCUCGAAAGCAUGGGUAGCGAACAGGAUUAGAUACCCUGGUAGUCCAUGCCGUAAACGAUGAGUGCUAAGUGUUGGGAGGCUUCCGCCUCUCAGUGCUGCAGCUAACGCAUUAAGCACUCCGCCUGGGGGAGUACGACCGCAAGGUUGAAAC
rnacentral:rRNA from 1 species